UACGGAGGGGGCUAGCGUUGUUCGGAUUUACUGGGCGUAAAGGGCGCGUAGGCGGCCACCGCAAGUCGACUGUGAAAUCUCCGGGCUUAACCCGGAAAGGUCAGCCGAUACUGCGGGGCUAGAGUGCAGAAGGGGCAACUGGAAUUCUCGGUGUAGCGGUGAAAUGCGUAGAUAUCGAGAGGAACACCUGCGGCGAAGGCGGGUUGCUGGGCUGACACUGACGCUGAUGCGCGAAAGCUAGGGUAGCAAACGGG
rnacentral:rRNA from 1 species